AUUUAAAUACAAUAGAAAUAUUAUUUUAGAUCCUGUUUAUCCUUUUGAAUAUACGUAUGUAUGUAUAAUAGACAUACAUUAUUAAGUAAAAUAUGAAAACAAAUUAUAGUAAAUUAAAAACAUAGUUAAAUAAUAAAACAAUGGUAGAAAUUUUUCUGUCAUUAUGAAAAUAAAUUGCUGUCAUUUUAUAUCGAAUUUUUUCUCUCCUAUACAGUGGAUACGAAAUAAUAAUAAAAGCUGAGCACAUAACAAGUUGUGAAAGCACUUAAAUUACUGAAGUUAAUAAUAUAGUAGUAUGUAUCAAUAAACGAUGAAAAUCAUCAUAAUAUGCUGUAUAAGGCUUUGAUAUAUGGGAAGUAUCCUAUCCAUUACGUAUAACAAUACGUACGUGAAUAUUAAUCACAAAAUCAGUACACGUUGUAAAGGCACGCAUCAAUUAUGGUAGCCAUCUAGAGUGUUAUAGCUACAACGCAAGUAAUCAUAAAAAUUGGAUUAUGUUAUAUUACCAAGAGACAAAGCUAUUGAUUUUGAUUUCUGACCUACAAAAAAAAAUAUCAUUAUAAAUAAUAAAUUAAAUAAAUU